AACAAACGCUGGCGGCAUGCCUAACACAUGCAAGUCGAACGAGAUCUUCGGAUCUAGUGGCGCACGGGUGCGUAACGCGUGGGAAUCUGCCCCUUGCUUCGGAAUAACAGUGAGAAAUUACUGCUAAUACCGGAUGAUGUCUUCGGACCAAAGAUUUAUCGGCAAGGGAUGAGCCCGCGUAGGAUUAGGUAGUUGGUGGGGUAAUGGCCUACCAAGCCGACGAUCCUUAGCUGGUCUGAGAGGAUGAUCAGCCACACUGGGACUGAGACACGGCCCAGACUCCUACGGGAGGCAGCAGUGGGGAAUAUUGGACAAUGGGCGAAAGCCUGAUCCAGCAAUGCCGCGUGAGUGAUGAAGGCCUUAGGGUUGUAAAGCUCUUUUACCAGGGAUGAUAAUGACAGUACCUGGAGAAUAAGCUCCGGCUAACUCCGUG
rnacentral:rRNA from 1 species